rnacentral:lncRNA from 1 species
AGACCCCAACAUGUUAGAACAGUAAAUUCCUCUUGCUUUUUGCAUUGAUUCCUGGUUCUGUGUCAUUCGCUCAGGGAGUCCCCAGUAAACUAAGACUUGCCACAGUCUUACAACCUCCAUCAUAUCAGAUAUGACUUGACAUUGUCCACCAGAUCUUCCUGAUUGGUCCGCCUCUGCUCUCCGUGGCUAAGGCAACUACAGUAGGGAGGGUUCCUCAGAAGUCAUCUGUACCUCCCCCCCUCACUGAAGGGCAGCGGCACAUGAAGAAGGUAGAGAAAUGAUCCCUCAGCUACAGAAGACGACCUGUGAGAGGAAUGAGCUGUGUGGUUUCCUGGCCCAUUAUACAAAGAUUUGAACAACAGCAAGCAGCCUGCCUUGUGGCUUCACCUUGUGCCUCUUGGACUCAGGUUUCCUAAGUGUGAAGCGUCUGUCAGCCUCCUCCAAACAUUGUCCUGCAAAUGUCGGAGCAUCUAGAGAGAAAGGUUUGUGCCAUGAGGGGCAUGUCAAUCAGCCCUGGGUGUCUGGGGCUCUGGUUGGAGAUUUCCACAGCUGGUUUCCAUGAGACACGUAGAUGGAUUGUAUUCUUGUUGGGUCUCCUGUCCUCUCUCAGAAGGUGUAUGACCUUUCCCUGCUGAUGUUUGCCAGUACCAUGGAUAGAUAAGCAUAAGUCAGGGCUACUUCCUGUUCUGGGACGUACAUGGAUCCCUUUGGGUGUCAGGGUUUUCAGAAGUACUUUGAGUCUUUCUGGAAUGUGGCUGUUCUCUGGAUUUGGCCUGCCUCUAGGUGAUGCUGGCAUAGUUACUGUGGACUCCAGUCUGAGGCUGUCUGAGGACAAGGGACCUGGCAGG